AAUGCCUAUAGACCACAGACACCUUAGCACACGCAGAGUCACACACACUCUCGCUCUGUCUGUAGUGUUUUCUCUCUGUGUCUGUAGAAUUCGCUGAAUGUUUUUCUCUCUCUAGAUUCUAGUUGGUCUUGUUUUUCUAUUUUUCGUUGGAGUAGUCGUCGAUGGGAAAUCGGGGGAUUUCUGGAUGGCAAAGUUGGAUCUUCGAAAGAUAUAUUGAAAUUAAAUGAACCGUAAUUGGCCUCAAUCUUCGCCUGAUUUACGGGCG
rnacentral:misc_RNA from 1 species